rnacentral:rRNA from 1 species
UACGUAGGGGGCUAGCGUUGUCCGGAUUUAUUGGGCGUAAAGAGCGUGUAGGCGGCCAGGUAGGUCUGCUGUGAAAACUCGAGGCUCAACCUCGAGACGUCGGCGGAAACCAUCUGGCUAGAGUUCGGGAGAGGUGAGUGGAAUGCCGGGUGUAGAGGUGAAAUUCGUAGAUAUCGGGAGGAACACCAGUGGCGAAGGCGACUUCCUGGCCUGUUCUUGACGCUGAGGCGCGAAAGCUAGGGUAGCAAACGGG